UACGUAGGGUGCAAGCGUUAAUCGGAAUUACUGGGCGUAAAGCGUGCGCAGGCGGUGAUGUAAGACAGGUGUGAAAUCCCCCGGGCUUAACCUGGGAACUGCAUUUGUGACUGCAUCGCUGGAGUGCGGCAGAGGGGGAUGGAAUUCCGCGUGUAGCAGUGAAAUGCGUAGAUAUGCGGAGGAACACCGAUGGCGAAGGCAAUCCCCUGGGCCUGCACUGACGCUCAUGCACGAAAGCGUGGGGAGCAACAGG
rnacentral:rRNA from 1 species